UGCUCAUAGACAUCAAUGUUAUUUCUGCAGCUUGAAAGACAGCGAGUUUUGAUAAAACUGGCCUUGUAGCACAUUGUCUAGCUUACAACGAUGGGAAAGAGGCAUUGUUUAUGAUUUUACAACGUAUAUCUCAUGAGUUAUUGAUGCCGGAAUUCCGAAUCUGUGAAUAUCUUGCCAACUUUACCUAACUCAAGUGUGGAGCCAAACGACAACAAGAUUCUCAGAGGGCGGAGCCAGAGAGCAGUGAUUGGUCAGACCAUAGACGUAUAGAAGACAGCGCGCUAGCGGAUCUAGUCUGCUAUAUAUGUCUAUGGUCGGAACGUGUGGUAGCAUCUCUGGCUGCUGUUGACCUUGUUUUUGGAGUAAAACACGGUGGAAGCUGAAUUAGUGAGGAUGACUCCUGCUCCUGUCAUCUCUAAGCUCCUCACACAUCUUUUACCUGCACAUGAGGAAAAUCACUCCUGUAGAAUGCAGAUGCACAAUGAGGGACGUCUGCAGCGACUGAGAAAGAGUCUCACCACAUCCUGACAUGAGGAAAAAGACUUUAUUGAAGAUUACAAUGGGAAAAACUAUCAGACAGCAGACGGCUGCAUUCAAGGUGAGCUCUGAACAUUUGAUCUGGAACAGGAAUUCAGUAACGGCAGCAUGAGCUUCAUUUCAGUCUGUAGCUGCUGAAUUCAUGGAUGAAUCAUCUGACACUAGAGAGGAAGACCAUCAAACAUCCACGUCAGCUGAUGGAGGUCCAAGAGUCUCACCAAACAACCUACAGAGUGAAGACCUCCAAUCUGAUUGGACGGCCUCCUAUUCAGCCACGUGUGAACAAAUGCCUCUAAGUUGAUUUGUUUUCUAAAAUAAAUCUAGUUUGAGUCCUAA